CACGGACCGCACGAACGUUAUUCGGAAUCACUGGGCUUAAAGAGUCCGUAGGCGGCUUGUUAGGUGAGGUGUGAAAUCCCUCGGCCCAACCGAGGAAUUGCGCUUCAAACCGGCAAGCUAGAGGAGGAUAGAGGUGGGCGGAACUGAUGGUGGAGCGGUGAAAUGCGUUGAUAUCAUCAGGAACACCGGAGGCGAAGGCGGUCCACUGGGUCCUUUCUGACGCUGAGGGACGAAAGCUAGGGGAGCGAACGGG
rnacentral:rRNA from 1 species